rnacentral:rRNA from 1 species
GGGCGUAAAGCGAGCGCAGGCGGUUUUUUAAGUCUGAUGUGAAAGCCCUCGGCUUAACCGAGGAAGCGCAUCGGAAACUGGGAAACUUGAGUGCAGAAGAGGACAGUGGAACUCCAUGUGUAGCGGUGAAAUGCGUAGAUAUAKGAAGAACACCAGUGGCGAAGGCGGCUGUCKGUCUGUAACKACGCUAGGAYC